AGUCAAGAAAUGCCAGUCAACUGCAGCUGAUUACUCUAUUAUUGGAGUGAUUAUCAGAUAUAUCCAGAGCAAAAAAUUAUGUUUUCAGAAGAUUGAGUUCAAGUAUAUCCCGAAAACAAAGAAUAUGAGAGCCCAUAAUAUCGCGAAGGAGACAUUAAAGAGAAGCGAGAGGGAAUACCUGAAGAAUGAAGAGACAGAUGGGACAGAUGAAAUGAAAUGACGAGAAGGAUUAAUGGUUUCCAGCCGUUGGAAGAUUGACUAAGGGUAGAUUAGGUUUCCCAUUUUCAAGAAACAGUGAAAAAGAAGAGCUGCAGAAGGGCAAACGCAAAAGAUAAGAAAAUCACGGAGACAAACCAGUUCAGCCAUUGCCACAAGUUCGAGCUAAGCUAUUCCGAAACGCCAUAUCAGUGCGACGGAUGCAAAGAACUAGGCGUCGGUUCAUGUUAUUAAUGCAAUAACAAGAAGUGUGACUUUCAUCUUCAUGAAAAUUGCGGGUUGGCCAAGCCUAUCGCCACCCAUUCGUUCUUCAAAAACAGCAACUUCAAGUUCAAAAAGAAAGGGAAUAGAGGCAAAACUUGUAAAGCAUGUGGCAAAGAUGUUCAAGGUUUCAUGUAUAAAUUCAAGGAAACAUAUUUGCAUCCUUGUUUGAAGCUCCCAAGCACCUUGAACGGCAAUUUCAAUCGUGGGUAGUUAAGACUUAAUCUUGAAAUGAAGGCCUUGACCGAGUGUUUGAUAUGUCAAAACAAGGAAAUUUCUAAAGGGAAAUUGAAAGGGUGGGCUUAUAUUUCGAGUUGUGGGAAACCCUGUUACCAUGUUGGGUGUGUGAAUAAUAUGAACUUCGAGAACUGGAAAACGGGUUAUUUCAAUCAAUCACAAAAUGAACUUCGAGAACUGGCAAACGGGUUAUUUCAAUCAAUCACAAAGUGGUGGUGUGACAAAUGGGUUAGUUUUUAUCAAAGAAGAAAAUGGGGAAAGUUCAAAUGGGAGAAAGAAAAUGAAGGAUUAUUGAUGGAGUACGCUUUCGGUCUCAUACUCCAAUCUGUUUUAGGGGGUGCUGUUGCUUCUUUGCUUGGUAUUUAGACUUUCUCUGUAUUGCAAAUAAGUGAAUGCUGGUCAAUGUUUGAUUUUUAUAUUUUUUUACCUCAAUAUUAUAAAAAAAAAAAUUUAUACACUAAAAUAA